rnacentral:tRNA from 1 species
GGCACUAUAGCUUAGUGGUUAGAGCAUCAAAAAGAAGGUUGCUGGUUUGAUUCCAGCUAGUGUCA